GUUGGAGUCUUUGGGGUGAAGGAAGGAGGUAUUACACUAUGUGAAGACUGCAACUCUGUGCUCAGAACAGGAGUGAGAGUGAAGCAUUGAUUUUUGCCCUUCUGGAAGGUCUGCCUAGCAGCUGCAGCAGUUGGAGGGAGUUGGGGAGUUAUUAAAUAUCAAGGAAAUGUUUGUGCCAGGACUGUCUACUUCUGGGUGGAGCUGGAAGGCUGAUGUCUCCUGGGCCAUAGCCCAGCCAUUUGUCAUGCCUGAUGCCAUUUUUGGAAGUAGACCUUUAGCUCUGAAAAUAAGCAAGCCCAAAGUGGCUGGGCCAGGAGACCCACACUGCAGAAGGAGAUGGGCAAGGAGAGCAGCACGCUCUUCCCUUUCUUUGAACUUACGGAACUUAUUACCAGGAACUCUGGGUCUGUAAUAACUGUUUCUGACUUUACUCUGUAUUCUCUUUUACAGGGGACUAUAUUUGAACCUUGGAUACCAUGGUGAUAACGUUAUUCCCUUUUUGUGCUUUUGUGGCUGGGCUGGGCUGAGUGGAAGUUAGGGGGCUUCUGCAUCACCUCUCCUCAGCUGUUUCACUUCCCUCUCCCUGGGGUAGUGGUCUUGCUUUCCAUAACACUAUGGCCCAGCUGUUUUAAAAAGAAACAAUUUUGAAUUGUAACGUUUGCCAAUUUUUGUGGUGCAAAUACUCCCUCUAUGGUUGAUUUCAAGCUGCUAAUGGUUUAGUACCCAGGUUGCAAAAUUCCUGAAUAUUUAAAAAUUGUCUCUCUCACCACCUGAAUCCAGCACACCCCUGUCUGUUAAUAUGUAAUGGAGAGAGUCUGAUGUAGGUUCAGGACAUAUGGCCUUGGGCUCUCCUGCAUCUUUACUUACAUGGUGCUGUAGCAUGACUCAACCAUUCUGAGCUUCGAUUUCCUUCCUCAAUUGCAAAACAAGAAAGUUGAAGCAAUCAGUUUCUUUUACUUAAUUUUUUUUCAAGGCACCUGAGGAAGAGUUUAUGUCAUGUGAAUUAAUCAGGGAAAGCCAACAUAGUUUUUUUUUUUUUUUUUUUUUCUUUUGAGGUGGAGACUCUCUCUGUCGCCCAGGCUGCAGUGCAGUG
rnacentral:lncRNA from 1 species